rnacentral:rRNA from 1 species
GGGAGGCAGCAGUGAGGAAUAUUGGAUAAUGGAGGCAACUCUGAUCCAGCCAUGCCGCGUGUAGGAAGACUGCCCUAUGGGUUGUAAACUACUUUUAUAUAGGAAGAAACGGUAUCACGAGUGAUACUUUGACGGUACUAUAAGAAUAAGGAUCGGCUAACUCCGUGCCAGCAGCCGCGGUAAUACGGAGGAUCCAAGCGUUAUCCGGAAUCGUUGGGUUUAAAGGGUCCGUAGGCGGGUUUAUAAGUCAGUGGUGAAAGUUUGCGGCUCAACCGUAAAAUUGCCAUUGAUACUGUAGGCCUUGAAUAAUUGUGAAGUGGUUAGAAUAAGUAGUGUAGCGGUGAAGUGCAUAGAUAUUACUUAGAAUACCGAUUGCGAAGGCAGAUCACUAACAAUUUAUUGACGCUGAGGGACGAAAGCGUGGGUAGCGAACAGGAUUAGAUACCCUGGUAGUCCACGCCGUAAACGAUGGUUACUAGCUGUUCGGUCGCAAGACUGAGUGGCUAAGCGAAAGUGAUAAGUAACCCACCUGGGGAGUACGUUCGCAAGAAUGAAACUUAAA